UACGGAGGGAGCUAGCGUUGUUCGGAAUUACUGGGCGUAAAGCGCGCGUAGGCGGCUUUGUAAGUUAGAGGUGAAAGCCCGGGGCUCAACCCCGGAACUGCCUUUAAAACUGCAUCGCUUGAAUCCAGGAGAGGUGAGUGGAAUUCCGAGUGUAGAGGUGAAAUUCGUAGAUAUUCGGAAGAACACCAGUGGCGAAGGCGGCUCACUGGGCUGGUAUUGACGCUGAGGUGCGAAAGCGUGGGGAGCAAACAGG
rnacentral:rRNA from 1 species